CGAAUCAACGCUGGCGGCGUGCCUAACACAUGCAAGUCGAACGCGAAGGGGGAGCAAUCCCUGAGUAGAGUGGCAAACGGGUGAGUAACACGUGGGUGACCUGCCUUCGAGUGGGGGAUAACGUUCCGAAAGGAACGCUAAUACCGCAUGACAUCCUGCUUUUGGAAAAGCGGAGAUCAAAGCUGGGGAUUCGCAAGAACCUAGCGCUUGGAAGAGGGGCCCGCGCCUGAUUAGCUAGUUGGUGAGGUAACGGCUCACCAAGGCUACGAUCAGUAC
rnacentral:rRNA from 1 species